GUCAGGGGUUAGAGGUUAGGGGAUAGGGGAUAGAGUUUAGGGGUUAGGGGAUAGGUAAUAGGGGUUAGAGGUUAAGGGUUAGGGGUUAGGGGUUAGAGCCUGGGUUUAGGGGUUAGAGGUUAGAGGUUAGGGGAUAGGGGUUAGGGGUUAGAGGUUAGGGGUUAGAGGUUAUGGGAAUAGGGGUUAGGGGUUAGAGGUUAGGGGUUAGGGGUUAGAGGUUAGGGAAUAGGGGUUAGAGGUUAGGGGUUAGGGGUCAGAGGAUAGCGGUUAGAGUCAGGCAGUAACAGGUGAUAGCAGCAGCAGCUAGAGAGUAGUCAAGGCCCGUGAUGCUGCAAAGCGUUUCAAUGAGACUCCGUCAUCGCCAACCAAUCAGGUCCUCAGCCUGCUGCGUCUGUCUGCGUGGGGGGAGGGGCCAAAGACUGUCCAGUUUAAGGCCGUCUGUCAGACCAAUCACCUCAAGGCUUCAGCCUCCAUGAAAAAUCACAGGGAUCACAGCAAAACAGCAAUAAGAACAUCACGUGUGUUAUAACAGACGUUACAAGGUGUUAUAACAGAUGUUACAAUGUGUUAUAACAG
rnacentral:lncRNA from 1 species